AACGUAGGUGGCAAGCGUUAUCCGGAUUUACUGGGCGUAAAGCGUGCGCAGGCGGUUUUGUAAGCCAGAUGUGAAAUCCCCGGGCUUAACCUGGGAAUGGCAUUUGGGACUGCAAGGCUGGAGUGCGGCAGAGGAGACUGGAAUUCCUGGUGUAGCAGUGAAAUGCGUAGAUAUCAGGAGGAAUACCGAUGGCGAAGGCAGGUCUCUGGGCUGACACUGACGCUCAUGCACGAAAGCGUGGGGAGCAAACAGG
rnacentral:rRNA from 1 species